rnacentral:rRNA from 1 species
GAUGAACGCUAGCGGCAGGCCUAACACAUGCAAGUCGAACGGUGUCUUCGGACAUAGUGGCGCACGGGUGCGUAACACGUAUGCAACCUACCUUACAUUGGGGGAUAGCCUUUCGAAAGGGAGAUUAAUACCGCAUAAGACAGUAGCUGGGCAUCCAGCAGCUGUUAAAGAUUUAUCGAUGUAAGCUGGGCAUGCGUCCAAUUAGCUAGUUGGUGAGGUAACGGCUCACCAAGGCAAUGAUUGGUAGGGGAACUGAGAGGUCAAUCCCCCACACUGGCACUGAGAUACGGGCCAGACUCCUACGGGAGGCAGCAGUAGGGAAUAUUGGGCAAUGGACGCAAGCCUGACCCAGCCAUGCCGCGUGCAGGAUGAAGGCGUUAUGCGUUGUAAACUGCUUUUAUACAGGAAGAAACGACUCUUGCGAGAGGCAUUGACGGUACUGUAUGAAUAAGCACCGGCUAACUCCGUGCCAGCCGCCGCGGUAAUAC